rnacentral:rRNA from 1 species
AUUGAACGCUGGCGGCAGGCUUAACACAUGCAAGUCGAGCGAGCGGCGGACGGGUGAGUAAUGUCUGGGAAACUGCCUGAUGGAGGGGGAUAACUACUGGAAACGGUAGCUAAUACCGCAUACCAUCAGAUGUGCCCAGCUGGGAUUAGCUAGUAGGUGGGGUAAUGGCUCACCUAGGCGACGCUCCCUAGCUGGUCUGAGAGGAUGACCAGCCACACUGGAACUGAGACACGGUACAGACGCCUACGGGAGGCAGCAGUGGGGAAUAUUGCACAAUGGGCGCAAGCCUGAUGCAGCCAUGACGCGUGUGUGAAGAAGGCCUUCGGGUUGUAAAGAACUUUCAGAGAGGAGGCGUUACUCGCAGAAGAAGCACCGGCUAACUCCGUGCCAGCAGCCGCGGUAAUUC